rnacentral:rRNA from 1 species
AUGCAUGAGUUAACUAAGGAAAACAUUGAGCGUAUGAAUGCUAAAUAUAAACUUGCUGGAGAUAAGGGUAGAAAACAUGUUGUGUUUGCACCUGGAGAUCUUGUUUGGUUACAUUUGCGUAAGGAUAGAUUUCCUGAUUUGCGCAAAUCAAAGCUAAUGCCACGUGCUGAUGGUCCUUUUAAGGUGUUAGAGAAAAUAAAUGAUAAUGCAUAUAAACUUGAGCUGCCUGCAGAUUUUGGGGUUAGUCCCACUUUUAAUAUUGCAGAUUUGAAGCAUUAUUUGGGUGAGGAAGAUGAGCUUCCGUCGAGGACGACUUCAUUUCAAGAAGGGGAGGAUGAUGAGGACAUCAAUACAAUUAUUACACCCACAGGCCCUGCUGCUAUACAUACUGGACCAAUUACUAGAGCUCGCGCACGCCAAUUAAAUUACCAGGAAACAGACCCUCGUGGUCAGGUUGAUCGUGCUCCGGCGUGGUCGAUAACCUCUCGGAGUUGGUUUAGCGAUUGCUAA